UCAACCUGAGAGUUUGAUCCUGGCUCAGAGCGAACGCUGGCGGCAGGCCUAAUACAUGCAAGUCGAGCGCCCUUUCGGGGGAGCGGCGGACGGGUGAGUAACGCGUGGGAAUAUGCCCUUUGGUACGGAACAACACAGGGAAACUUGUGCUAAUACCGUAUGUGCCCUUCGGGGGAAAGAUUUAUCGCCAUUGGAGUAGCCCGCGUUGGAUUAGCUAGUUGGUGGGGUAAAGGCCUACCAAGGCGACGAUCCUUAGCUGGUCUGAGAGGAUGAUCAGCACACUGGGACUGAGACACGGCCCAGACUCCUACGGGAGGCAGCAGUGGGGAAUAUUGGACAAUGGGCGCAAAGC
rnacentral:rRNA from 1 species